UAAAGGCUGUCCUUGGAUUUUAAAUCUCUUUUUUAGCUAGCAAAGCUCUCAAGUUGGUGAUCCCCAGGUCACAGAUAUUGUACCAGUUAUUUAUCGCCACAAAAAUGCUGCCUAACAUGCCACCCUAAAGGCACUGAAACAAGGAACUAAAGAAAUGAAGUCAAAUGAGAACUUGCCCCUUCUAUGAAGGAGCUUGCCAUUGAAUGGGAGAGACAGGCAAGUCAACCAGGGACCACAGUGCAGAGUGUUCCAAGGAGAAGUACCAAAGCAUUAAGCACCUGGAGAAAACAUCUACAACAGUGGAAACUAAGAAACCCGCAAAUCACAGACAGGUAAGAUUAGAGUGAUUGUGUGUAUUUUGAAAGAGAUAAAUGACAUAUUGAAGGCCCUCAAAGGCUAUGGUAACAAGGCUGAGGCACUCUGGUAAAUGUUGAAGGAUCUAAAAAUAGUAGUGAAAACUACCCAGUAUUUAACAAGACUCACGGAAUCCAUGAUGCCAGUAUAGCUUAAGUAUAGUGGAGGUGAAAUGAGAAAUUGAAUACUCCACCCACCCAUAGUGCAGGAGACCAGAGACCCCACGGGACAUGUCCUGGGUGAGGAGUUAGGUUUUGGCUUCUGAGACCACAUUUUGUGACUAACAGCAAGGGCUUU